rnacentral:misc_RNA from 1 species
UCUAGGGAGCAUCCGAAAGGAUGCGGUCCCGAUCGGCUUGUCCGGUCGGGUCUAGGAACGUCGACCGAAACUGGCAGGCAGCACGCCAGGGCCCUCGGGUCCGAGCGGAGCUGCCCACAUGCUGUUGAGUUUUGAGAGACCGGCGUCUGCCGGCGGCUCGCUUGGCUAGGCCACGGGCUGUCGAAGGGCGCACCGCCUCUCCACGGACCUUGAAAACUGCACAGUAGCCAAUGAAACGGGUAUCACCGAUCAAUUGUUGAUCAGAUCACCGUCAAGAUAGUAAGGGCACACGGUGGAUGCCUUGGCACCUAGAGUCGAUGAAGGACGUGAACGGCUGCGAUAAGCCGCGGUGAGGCGCUGAAUAGCCUUUGACCCGCGGAUCU